CUUGUAAUUAAUGCUCUGCAUUUAUUCCAUCCAAAGUGCACGUGCACAGGCACAGCAGUGAACGCACACACGUAUUAUUAAAGGGGUCAUAUAAUGCCAUUUUUGUACAAGCUAAUAUGAUUCUUUAGGGUCUAAAUUGAAAGUUUGUAAUAUACUUUAAUUAAAAAUUCUCAUUAGUAUUGUAAGAAAACACUCAUUUUACCUGCUCAAAAACAGCUCUGUUUUCAGCACACAGUUUUAGUGCGUGUGUUUUUAAAUGCUAAUGAGCUUUGCUCGCCCCGCCCCUCUGUUCUGUGGGGCGUUUUUGACACAACACACGUGGAGUGUUGCCUUGACAACAGUUGAGGGUAUAUUUUGAAGAAUGGCAGCGGGAGUCUCUGAGGAUACUGUGCAACCUUAUCAAUUCGAACCGGAGUCGGACCCGGAACAGGAUGACGGCCCCGAAGAAGUUCGACAAUUAAGGCUCGAACGGGACGUUUCUGAAUGAUGGUGAUGUGAUUCUGGGGAGUUCUGUUGAUCCUGUGAUUGAGGGAGAUACUCUGACUCUACACUGUUUACAUCGAUCUACAAACUCCCCGAUCCUCAGAGCUGAUUUCUAUAAAGACAGAUCACUCGUCCAGAAUCAGACGACAGGAGAGAUGAACAUCACGACUGUCUCAAAGUCACAUGAGGGUUUCUACUCCUGUAAAACAGAGAGAGGACCGUCACCCAAGAGCUGGAUCUCAGUCAGAGUGUCAUGUUCAUCAACCCCGGCAGCACUCCUCCACCUGACUCCUAUAGCCAAACACAGCCCCAAAUCGUACUCCUGAUGGACUCGACGCAAAUUUGUUGAUGAAAGAAACUGUUCCCGAGAAGAAACGUCACGAAAAUAUGGUGCCCAAACACACAGAAGGCCCUGGAGCUCUUGUGUGAAGAGCAGCUGGGUUCCCCCAGCCAUAUUAUCAUCCACACCGGCACCAACCACCUGAGAGCCACAAGAAAGAGUAGCUACAGCUCUCGUUAAUGUAGCAGAGAAAGCAUCCUCCCACUUCCCCAACUCCAAAAUCAUCCUCUCCACCCGUGCUGUUAUGCUCUGAUUUCCACCCAGACACCAUCAGGCAUAUAAACGCAAGAGUGACUGUGCCCUUAAACCCAAUGUUUACCUGGCUCAACACCCCACCCUGAAUCUCGACAGCCUUUACGGCCAUGUCCAUCUCCACAGAAGGGCGGUUCCCAUCUUUGCCAAGACCCUAAAGGACAUCGCACUGAGCCGCAGCUCCAGCGCACUGCAGCGCCCCCGUGGACACCCCAUAGAGCCACUACAGGGACACGGCAGGCUCUAUGCGUCACCCUGGAACACACCGCAGCACCAGGCCUGCAGCUCCUUCACCCCAUCAUUCACAUGAACAUCAGCAGGAACAGCACCCAGGCAGCCAGAGCUACACCAAAGCAGCCAGCAGAUCACUCAAACACCAACACAGACGACAGCCGGCCCAGUCCAUCUCAAUCCAGAGACCUCAGAAACAUCACCUAAUGGGUUAGUGACUUAGUGGAAAAAGAAAGAAAGAUGUAUGUGUGUACAUAUGUAUCUAUAAAAAUAUUCUGUUCAAAUUAUUAACAUACGAUUAAAUAUUCAAGGAAAAUAUUCUGUUCAAAUAUUAAAAUACGAUUACAAAACUCUCAAAAAACCCACAAAAUCUUCGAAAAGUCAAAUUGGAUUUCUGCCCAAACACAGAACAUCUGACCACAUUUACAGUGAGGAAAAUAAG